rnacentral:lncRNA from 1 species
UCCCAGGCUAGGGGUCAAAUUGGAGCUCCAGCUGCUGGCCACAGCCACAGCCACAGCAAUGCCAGAUCCAAGCCGCAUCUGCAACCUACACCGCAGCUCAUGGCAACACCAGCUCCUUAACCCACUGAGCGAGGCCCGGGAUUGAACCUGCAUCCUUCACAGAUACUAGUCAGGUUUGUUACCGCUGAGACACAAUGGGAACUCCCAAGAACACUGUGUAUCUUAACACUAACUUUGUUUCUCUGGUCUGGCCGCCAGGAAGCUCAGAGCUAAGUUUGGGGCCCAUCUUAGACCUUAAGAACGUGCUCUUAGGUGCCAAUUUGGCCACUUUUAUGACAAUUCCUAUCUUCCAGCCAAUCAAUGAGCACAUUCAUUUGGCUUGUCCAUACUUGGCCCCAAGCUCCUUGCAUUUAAAGGCAUGUUCUGAUGCAGCUGGAUAUUCCGGAAGCCGCCUCAUAUGGUUUUUAGAGUUAGUGGGUGCUUAGGAGAGCGGGGGGGCCUCACCUUGACCACAGGAGACGGAGCACGGCCCCGUCAGAGGAGUCCACACGUGUGCGGCCUGAACCUCCAGCCUGGCGCUGCCCGCUGGGGACACAGCCUCUUCGCCUGGAGACUGGGCCUCCAGCUGCGGGGCCACAAACAAGCUGGUGGGUCUGGGCUUCCUGCCUCCAGCCCCCUGGGCACCUGGCUCUCCACCCCCUCCCACCCCAGUCUGUGCAAAAGAGAGUAUCAGUGUCACCAGCUCUCCAGAGGCUGCCCGGCCCCGCUGCCCCUUUCCCGGGAGCCUUGCUUUCUGGCCCCCAGUGGAUGCCCUCGCCGCACACCCUGCCUCGGCCUCUGCAUCUGCGUGAGCAGUCACCGUGUGGCAGGGGUGACUGAGCGGGGGGUUCAGGAGCCAGGUUUGCAGGCAUGCUUGGCCCUGAAAGCCCCACCAGCUCCCGAGGGCCCCGGUUGGCCAGCACCCUUGUCUGAAGCAAGCCCACCCAGCCUGAGCCCAUGGACGCCGGCAGGAGCGUGGCCGCGUUUCUCCACGUAGCAGAGAACCGACAGCAGCUACCAGGGUCUGGAGUCCUGGGCCUGCGAGCCAGCGGGAAGGAGCCUUCCUAGAAGCCCUGACUCUAAGUUCAUCCUCUGACCGAAGGAACCCCAAGGACCGCAGCCCUGCAGAUGGGCAGUCUUCCGGCUCCGGCCAGGAGGCCAGUGGGAACCAGGGCUCCCCGUUCUCCUGGCCAGAAAAGGACCCACAAGCCCCAGCCCUCUGGUGCCCAGGACACUCACAUGGCCCCAGCCUGGAGGACAUGUCACCUCGAUACACGGCUCUAGGGCAGAUGGCUUCUGGUCUGUGGGGCAGGGCCCAGCAGUGGCCAGCGCCCCCAUGCCCUCUGCCCCCUGCACACACGUCACAUUCUGCACGGCCAGUUCUGCUCCACAGGCUGACGGGCAGAUGUCCGAUGUCUCUCUGAGGAUGGCACGGGAUCGCCAUCAGGCCUUGCCCGCGCCAUUGAGCUGCCGGAGCAGCCCGGCUCCUGGGGCAGGGAGGCAGUGAGCCUACUCCCCAAUAUCCAAGAGCCCAAAGAGGAGUCCCCACAAAGAGGCCAAGACCAGGGGCCCUUCCCUGAAGACUGGGGAGCUGCCACUGGUCCCUGACUUGACACCCAGGGUGCAGGCACACAAGCCCCGACCCACCAGCCUCCCAGAAGCAGAGGCGGGGCCCCCGACCAGCCAAGGGCAUCGCUCCACACAACCUAGAGGGUGCCAAGGAACAAGUGCCAGGCACAAUCAGAUCACCAGGUUGGGGACAGUCAAUGCGUCCCCUGUGCCACCGCUGAGAGGUGGUGGCUGCUUAGAGUGCUGUGUUAAGGAGUCUGCGGCAGGAUCAGCCCUCAGCAGAAAAGAGUGGUGACUGGCUGUGACAUGUGCCACGGAUGCAAGGUGGUGGAAGGUGCCCAGAGCCGUGUAUGGACCGCCAGUGACCUAGGCCCACCCCCACCCCCACCGGACAGGUAACAAAACGGGCCCAGAGAGGGAGGGGACUUGCUCAGGCCACCCAAGUCAGUGGCCAAUUGGAAUGGCAAGUUUCUGCCAGCUAGAGCACAGUGGGGGGACAAUAUGGUGACAUGACAAUAGCAAUGACAACGUGACAUUUAUGGCUUUACCUUCGUGUCCUCACAGACCCUCCACGAGGAAGUGCCAAGGGAAAUAGCCAACCCAGGGCCUCCUGGGUAGCUGGUAAUUUGGAAGCUGACACUCCCCUGCCGCGGGGGCGGGGGUGGGAGGGGUGGGGAGGUGCAGCCAGAGGCCUUGGGAAGCGGGGACACUCAGAAGGGGCUCAGCACAGGGCCAAGCCCUGCUGGGGAGACCCUGCCUGGAUCUGGCCUUGCGGGGGACCCGGCCCCACCCUGAGGCUCACCUCGUGGGGCAGGGCUGUGCGUUGCAGGUCUCCACGGCCGCAGGUUGCUGGGCCAGCGCUCUGCACCGCGAGCGGGGCAACGUCCUUAGGAGGCCACCCUGGGCCUCCACACAGCGCACCGCCCGCUCCUGCAGGCCUCCCCCGCAGGAAGCGCUGCACGGGCCGAAGUCUCCAACUGCCCAGCUGAGGAGAGGAGCAGAGCAUGGGGCCUGGCCAGGACGCAGCCCAGGAUGCAGCCCGGGCUGGCCCAGGACUCGGGCGCAGAGCAGGAGGCCAGCUGAUCUGCAAGGUGACUCAUGUCCCUGCUCUGGGCUGGACCCCUGCUCUGGGCUGCAGCGCCCCACCCUUCAGCUCUCCAGACCCCAAGCUGCACCAGAGCCUGAGGACAUCUGUAUAAAAGUGUCCCAGGAGUUCCCUGGUGGCUCAGCAGGUUAAGGACCUGGCAUUAUCACUGCUAUGGCUCGGGUGGCAGCCAUGACACAAGUUCAAUCCCUGGCCCAGAAACCUCUGCUUGCUGCGGGCACGGCCAAAAAAAUAAAAACUGCCCCAGCCCUGCACCCAAUAGGACAGCCUUGUCCCUCGUGUUCCGUUCUUGCCAGCAGCACCCGCCAGGGCGUGGCCAGCUCCCUGAUCUCCCCCACCCUCCCCCGCAGGGCAAUCAUGUCCAUCGUGCAGGGAGCUGCCCGCAGACCAGGUACAGUGGGUGCAGGUCACACCAGGCUGACACUGUCACUCGUGUCUGCCUGUCUCACUGUCCUCACCUCCUACACGGGGACAAUGACAGAACCCACCCCACAGGGAAAUCUGCAGAACUGGAGGAGAACACUGUUGGCCCAGGCCAUGCUAGAGGGCCCACGAGCCAGGAGAGAGCCCAGCGGCCCUGGUGAGCCCGCUACGACACUCACAACGGGGGGCAGGGAGCAGGGGGGUGCAGGACUCGGACCACGCCGCCGGCCGCCGGCUCCCUGCACACAGGGCAGCCUCCACCCAUGCAUUCCUGGCCUGGUCCCAACAGCUGUAGGUCACCUGACGCAGCCCUGGGAGAGAAGAGGGAGGCUAGGCCACCUCCAGGCAGGGGGCAAACCGGGCUCCAGGCCAGCCCUGCCCCGGGCCUCACCUGCCCCACAGCUCACCGAGCAGGCCCCCCGCACAGGAGCCCACGCCCAGGCCUGCUGCUGCUCAGGCUGGAAGUAGGUGAAGGUGAUGUCUGGGCGGGCGAGGCGGCCGUACUCCUGGCCGUAGCGCCUGUAAACCUGCACGAGACACACGGAGAGGGCCACUGUCACAGCCACCUCCCCGGGAGGCCUUCAGCUGUUCUGCCCUCCAUGCCCUGGCUCCUUUCCCUCAGCAAGCAAUCACCUGCCCCCGUGCCACACUCUGGGGACAGCACAGCAACCAGGACACUGUCCCAGGCUCCAGGAGCUCACAGUGGGGUGGGGUCAGGUGGGUUGGUGGUGACAGAUGGUGACAAAGUAUAUGGAUGUUUCGGGGAUCGGGGAGCACAGAGAAGGGCCCCUAGGGUUGGGGGGCAGGUCAGGAGGGCCUCCUGGGGGAGGCGAGGAGGCCAGUGAAGGGGACGUUCCAGCAGCCAAGAGUCUGGGCCCGGCCUGGGGUGAGACCAGCACAGCACGGGGGCAGGAAGGGGGUUGGACAGGGGUCUGGGCUCGUCCCCGAGGACACGGGAGCUAUAAGGAAGAGUGACCACAGGGGGCCGGCCUGUCUGUACUUGAAAAGGGUCACCGGGUCCUGUGAGGGGCCAGCCUGGAGGGCAGGAGGGGCCCCCGAGAUCCCAGCACCUACCCCCACCCUGGACACCUCAUCUGGCCGCCCAGCACAGCCCAGCCGUCCUCCCCCACUCCCAGCAGCUCCUGGCUUAGUGGCUCCAAGAGGGGCUCAGGAAUCUGUGUUUUCACCCUCACUGCAAGGAGGCCGACAGAACUGCUUGGCAGUUGGCGUCGGGAACAUUCCCAAUGAACUGGGCCACAGGGGGAGGCAGGGAAGGGGUUAACCGCUCCCCUUGGGGCUCACCUGGCCUGGCCUUCUGGGGAGCCCCUGCCGUCCCCCCCAGCGGUGGGAGCAGAGGGUGGGGCUGCUAGACCAAUGUCGGGGGCCAUCAAGACUCGGACCCUCCCCACCCCCCCAAGGUGCUCCAGGACUAUUUCAGGCCACACUGCCUUCUGUCCACACAGGGGGCCACGUGCAGACAGGCUCACAGUGCAGAGGACACAUCUGGACCCAGCCUGGAACCAACAUCUAUGCAGAGCUGCCUCUGGGCCCGGGGCCUGCGGCCAGCACUGCCCAGCCCACACAUCAAUCCUCAGGCCGGCCCAUAACCCCAGGCCGUGGGAUGGCCAUCUCGUCCCCACUGGGCAGGGAGGACCUGGGCCACCCAGCAUCCUCACAGGAGGAGAGCAAAGCGGGAGGGGGACAUCAGGUUCCAGUUCUGCCCUCACACCACCUGGCCCUUUGACCCAGAACUUCCGACGUCUCAUCCCACCGUCGGGAUGGGGCAGGCCAGGCCUCUGGGCCCUUUGAGAUCUGAGUCAGCGUGCAGCCUGCGGCACGUAGCAUGCAGCUUGCAGUGUGUAGCAUGCAGCGUGGCUACCUUCCAAUGCUCGUGGGGUGGGGGGCAGACACUCUGCCAGAACCUUUACCGUGUGUUAUUUUGAAAAAAAAAAAAAAUGCACCUUCACUAUAGCUUUUCAUAGGCAUGCUUAGUCUCAUUUUGCAGAUAGGGAAACAGAGACUCAGAAAUGCUGUCUUUUGUCCCUUCCGAGCUGGGAUUUGACCUCUGGGCUGAGUCCCUAGCCUGGGUCCUUGAGCCCUGAGUCACCCGGCUUCCAGUUCCUGGGCCACUUCACCUGCUGGAGGGCUGCCCCCACCCUGGCUCCCUAACCUGAGCCUGGGACCAACCAGUCUCCUGGCUGUCUCGCUAUCCACGCCCCACCCCCCACCGCAGCUCCCAGACCC